AACGCACGAGACCUGCGGACCUGCGGAAGGAUCAUUAAUGAGAAGCUGCCCCUCGCGGGUAGAUCUCCCACCCUUUGUAAACUUACCUUUGUUGCUUUGGCAGGCCCGUCUCCGGACCGCCGGCUUCGGCUGGCCAGUGCCUGCCAGAGGAUUCUAAAACUCUGUCUGUCAGUGUUGUCUGAGUCUAUAUACAAUCGUUAAAACUUUCAACAACGGAUCUCUAGAUCGGAAGAGCACACG
rnacentral:misc_RNA from 1 species